rnacentral:rRNA from 1 species
GACGAACGCUGGCGGCGUGCCUAAUACAUGCAAGUAGAACGCUGAAGAGAGGAGCUUGCUCUUCUUGGAUGAGUUGCGAACGGGUGAGUAACGCGUAGGUAACCUGCCUGGUAGCGGGGGAUAACUAUUGGAAACGAUAGCUAAUACCGCAUAAUAGUAGAUGUUGCAUGACAUUUGCUUAAAAGGUGCAAUUGCAUCACUACCAGAUGGACCUGCGUUGUAUUAGCUAGUUGGUGAGGUAACGGCUCACCAAGGCAACGAUACAUAGCCGACCUGAGAGGGUGAUCGGCCACACUGGGACUGAGACACGGCCCAGACUCCUACGGGAGGCAGCAGUAGGGAAUCUUCGGCAAUAGACGGAAGUCUGACCGAGCAACGCCGCGUGAGUGAAGAAGGUUGUCGGAUCGUAAAGCUCUGUUGUAAGAGAAGAACGAGUGUGAGAGUGGAAAGUUCACACUGUGACGGUAUCUUACCAGAAAGGGACGGCUAACUACGUG